UGCUCAUUACCGUUGACCUCAUCCUCCUGCAUAGAGAGGACGGGCCUCCCACGGUCCUGCCGGAUCCAUGCCCCUUGCCUCUGCCCAUCAAUAUCAGAGGCAGAGUCCGGGUUAAUGCUUGUUGCUGCUACCAGGACUGAGAAAGAAUCAUGAUUCUUGGACCGAGCAGCUACUGAAUCCUCAGGCUCUCCAGUGAGCAGUUAGCCAUAAAGGUUCUCCCACUACUGAUACGGGGUCCAAAGCUGAGCGUGACUCCUGACAGCCGUUGCCCCGUGAAGGAGUGAACAGUACCCCAUGGAGGUGAAUAGCAUGGAAAGGCCCAGAGAAUGGCUCCACUCUUCAUGGCUGCUGGGAUCCAGUGAACCUUGUUGGAAGGCCCAGAGACAAGAGGU